ACAACAACAUAAAUUCAUGCUCCAUGAAUCACACUUACCAUGCAAUGUUAUGUGCACAGUGAGUUAGACCAUGAAUAAACUCAAUCAAAUUUAUGGGUAUAUUCUCAGUUAAUAUCCAACAAGUUUCAAACAACUAUGGCUUCUGGCUUUGGAGAUUAAUUCACAUCAGAGAUAGUCAUUAAUGGCUCACUGGUGAUUUAGACCUCAAAAAAUUUGUUGAGGACAUGUUGGCAAGUUUAUAAAAAUAGCAUACAAUGGAAUUAAUGCAGCUGAUCAGCUGUUUUGAGCUCUAUGAAUACAUUAAGGAUAACCCAGAUUAUAAGGAAUCAAAGACAUAUCUCCCUGUCCUUAGUGAAGAGUUCAUAGCUAUAAUAGAUGACGCAAAGGAAAAGAUAGAACAAGAAGGAACCAAGCAAACUAUCACAACAAAGAGAAUAAAAAUAAAACUCUUUUGGUUUGAAACAUUAUUCAUUGAAACAGCUGGAGAUGAUCAACUGCUGCAACCUGAUGAUUUUAUAAUGGUGACUGGAUAUCAGUGGUUCUGAGAAAAAUGACAGUACCUGAAAUACUGGACUCGUUAAGUAAACUCUCCUGGUAAGAAUGCUGUCUCAGUUAAUGUAUAGCAUGUACAACGCACUUAUAUACAUGUACAUGUACAUUGUACUUAUAGUGUAUUUGUACAUGUAGUCCAUAUUAUACUUACAAAUGUGGUAAGUAUUGUGUACAUUCAUGUAGUGUACAUGCUGUAUGUUCCUAAUAUUAUACCCCAUGCUCUAAUACACAUAUGCUUAUAUACUUGUACAUAUACAUACCGGUAUAUACAUGAUACAUGUACUACACUUACUUGAACAUGCAUGUUUUAAUACGUAUGUGU